rnacentral:rRNA from 1 species
GACGAACGCUGGCGGCGUGCUUAACACAUGCAAGUCGAACGGAAAGGCCCUGCUUGCAGGGUACUCGAGUGGCGAACGGGUGAGUAACACGUGGGUGAUCUGCCCUGCACUUCGGGAUAAGCCUGGGAAACUGGGUCUAAUACCGGAUAGGAGCCAUUUUUAGUGUGAUGGUUGGAAAGUUUUUUCGGUGUAGGAUGAGCUCGCGGCCUGUCAGCUUGUUGGUGGGGUAAUGGCCUACCAAGGCGGCGACGGGUAGCCGGCCUGAGAGGGUGGACGGCCACAUUGGGACUGAGAUACGGCCCAGACUCCUACGGGAGGCAGCAGUGGGGAAUAUUGCACAAUGGGCGCAAGCCUGAUGCAGCGACGCCGCGUGGGGGAUGACGGCCUUCGGGUUGUAAACUCCUUUCGCUAGGGACGAAGCUUUUUGUGACGGUACCUAGAUAAGAAGCACCGGCUAACUACGUG